rnacentral:rRNA from 1 species
UACGUAGGGGGCAAGCGUUGUCCGGAAUCAUUGGGCGUAAAGCGCGUGUAGGCGGCUUGGUAAGUCCGCUCUGAAAGCCCGGGGCUCAACCCCGGGAGGCGGGUGGAUACUGUCAAGCUCGAGUCCGGAAGAGGCGAGUGGAAUUCCUGGUGUAGCGGUGAAAUGCGCAGAUAUCAGGAGGAACACCAAUGGCGAAGGCAGCUCGCUGGGACGUAACUGACGCUGAGACGCGAAAGCGUGGGGAGCAAACAGG